UUUAGGACCAAUUGACUCUUGUGAGACUGUCUGGUUUAGGACCAGAGGACUCUGAUAUACCUGAGACUGUCCAGUUCAGGACCUGUGGACUCUGAUGUUUCUGAGAUUAUCCGGCUCAGGACCAGUGGACUCUGUUGUAUCUGAGAAUGUCUGGUUUUUGGACCAUUGGCCUCUUUUGUAUUUGAUACACUCCGGUUUAGGAUAGGACUCUUGUGAGACUGUCUGGUUUAGGACCAGAGGACUCUGAUCUAUCUGAGUCUGUCCAGUUCAGGACCAGUGGACCCUGAUGUUUCUGAGAUUA